rnacentral:rRNA from 1 species
AGAGUUUGAUCCUGGCUCAGAAUCAACGCUGGCGGCGUGCCUAACACAUGCAAGUCGAACGAGAAAGUGGAGCAAUCCACGAGUAAAGUGGCGACCGGGUGAGUAACACGUGACCAAUCUACCCUUGAGUGGGGGAUAACCUCGGGAAACCGGGGCUAAUACCGCAUAACAUCUCUGGAUCGGAAGAACUGGAGAUCAAAGGAGCAAUUCGCUUAAGGAGGAGGUCGCGGCUGAUUAGCUAGUUGGCGGGGUAAUGGCCCACCAAGGCAAAGAUCGGUAGCCGGCCUGAGAGGGCGCACGGCCACACUGGAACUGAAACACGGUCCAGACUCCUACGGGAGGCAGCAGUGGGGAAUUUUGCGCAAUGGGGGAAACCCUGACGCAGCAACGCCGCGUGGAGGAUGAAGUCCCUUGGGACGUAAACUCCUUUCGACCCGGACGAUAAUGACGGUACGGGUGGAAGAAGCCCCGGCUAACUUCGUGCCAGCAGCCGCGGUAAUACGAGGGGGGCAAGCGUUGUUCGGAAUUAUUGGGCGUAAAGGGCGCGUAGGCGGUGCGGUAAGUCACCUGUGAAACCUCUAGGCUUAACCUAGAGCCUGCAGGCGAAACUGCCGUGCUUGAGGGUGGGAGAGGUGCGUGGAAUUCCCGGUGCAGCGGUGAAAUGCGUAGAUAUCGGGAGGAACACCUGUGGCGAAAGCGGCGCACUGGACCACAUCUGACGCUGAGGCGCGAAAGCUAGGGGAGCAAACAGGAUUAGAUACCCUAGUAGUCC